CCUACGGGGGGCUGCAGUAAGGAAUAUUGGUCAAUGGACGAAAGUCUGAACCAGCCAUCCCGCGUGCAGGAUGAAAGCCCUAUGGGUUGUAAACUGCUUUUAGCAGAGAAGAAAAGCUUUCAUUAAUGAGAGUCUGACGGUAUCUGCAGAAUAAGCACCGGCUAACUCCGUGCCAGCAGCCGCGGUAAUACGGAGGGUGCGGGCGUUAUCCGUGUUUACGGGGUUUAGAGGGAGUGUAAGGGCAGUGGUGAAAUCUUGUCGCUUAACGAGAAAAUUGCCAAUGAUACUGGUACUCUUGAAUUGGGUUGAGGUUAGCGGAAUGUGACAUGUAGCGGUGAAAUGCAUAGAUAUGUCAUGGAACACCAAUUGCGAAGGCAGCUAACUGGGCCUUGAUUGACGCUGAGGCACGAAAGCGUGGGUAGCGAACAGGAUUAGAUACCCCGGUAGUC
rnacentral:rRNA from 1 species